GACGAACGCUGGCGGCGUGCUUAACACAUGCAAGUCGAGCGGUAAGGCCCUUUCGGGGGUACGACGAGCGGCGAACGGGUGAGUAACACGUGGGUGACCUGCCCUCAGCUCUGGGAUAAGCCUGGGAAACCGGGUCUAAUACCGGAUAUGACUCCAUGACGCAUGUUGUGGGGUGGAAAGCCUUGUGCGGCUGAGGAUGGGCCCGCGGCCUAUCAGCUUGUUGGUGGGGUGAUGGCCUACCAAGGCGACGACGGGUAGCCGGCCUGAGAGGGCGACCGGCCACACUGGGACUGAGACACGGCCCAGACUCCUACGGGAGGCAGCAGUGGGGGAUCUUGCGCAAUGGGCG
rnacentral:rRNA from 1 species